rnacentral:rRNA from 1 species
GAUGAACGCUGGCGGCGCGCCUAAUACAUGCAAGUCGAGCGAACAGACGAGGAGCUUGCUCCUCUGACGUUAGCGGCGGACGGGUGAGUAACACGUGGAUAACCUACCUAUAAGACUGGGAUAACUUCGGGAAACCGGAGCUAAUACCGGAUAAUAUAUUGAACCGCAUGGUUCAAUAGUGAAAGACGGUUUUGCUGUCACUUAUAGAUGGAUCCGCGCCGCAUUAGCUAGUUGGUAAGGUAACGGCUUACCAAGGCAACGAUGCGUAGCCGACCUGAGAGGGUGAUCGGCCACACUGGAACUGAGACACGGUCCAGACUCCUAAGGGAGGCAGCAGUAGGGAAUCUUCCGCAAUGGGCGAAAGCCUGACGGAGCAACGCCGCGUGAGUGAUGAAGGUCUUCGGAUCGUAAAACUCUGUUAUUAGGGAAGAACAAAUGUGUUAGUAACUAUGCACGUCUUGACGGUACCUAAUCAGAAAGCCACGGCUAACUACGUG